GCUUGCUCCUUGGGUGGCGAGUGGCGGACGGGUGAGGAAUACAUCGGAAUCUGCCUAUUUGUGGGGGAUAACGUAGGGAAACUUACGCUAAUACCGCAUACGACCUACGGGUGAAAGCGGAGGACCUUCGGGCUUCGCGCAGAUAGAUGAGCCGAUGUCGGAUUAGCUAGUUGGCGGGGUAAAGGCCCACCAAGGCGACGAUCCGUAGCUGGUCUGAGAGGAUGAUCAGCCACACUGGAACUGAGACACGGUCCAGACUCCUACGGGAGGCAGCAGUGGGGAAUAUUGGACAAUGGGCGCAAGCCUGAUCCAGCCAUGCCGCGUGGGUGAAGAAGGCCUUCGGGUUGUAAAGCCCUUUUGUUGGGAAAGAAAAGCAGCCGGUUAAUACCCGGUUGUUCUGACGGUACCCAAAGAAUAAGCACCGGCUAACUUCGUGCCAGCAGCCGCGGUAAUACGAAGGGUGCAAGCGUUACUCGGAAUUACUGGGCGUAAAGCGUGCGUAGGUGGUUUGUUAAGUCUGAUGUGAAAGCCCUGGGCUCAACCUGGGAAUUGCAUUGGAUACUGGCAGGCUAGAGUGCGGUAGAGGGUAGUGGAA
rnacentral:rRNA from 1 species